UGAGAAACCUUCGUUCACCCAGGUUUCAGUCUUCUUCAUCUUCUCCUCUCAUCUUCCUAUCCUUUCUCUCUGUCUCUCUGCUCCUCGAUCUCUCUCAUCUGUCUGUGCGUCGCACGCAAGAUCAUGGUAUUUCUAUUUCAUGACCCCUCAAAAAAGGAGAAGAGGUUGUUGAUUGAAUCUGAAUCAAAAACUUUGCUUAAGCUUCUUUUCCUUCCCCUCAUUUCUUUCUUCUUGUGAACCUGUGAUCUUUCUUUUCUUUUCUUUUUUUCCUUUCUCUCAUAACAAAACAUGGCUUACAGAAGAAGGCAGGGUCAAAGUCUUCAACCUUUGAGGAAGAGAUUCCUCAAUCUCAAUCAUCAUUACCUGAAAACAAUGAAAUCAAGAAUGAUUUUUCAUCGUCGUCGUCAUCCGUUGUUGCUCAAGCCAAGGCCUCCGCCUCUGGCGGCCACGCCUUCGACCCUGCCUCUGAUCAUCACAAAUCCAAGAAUGAUGAUGGUGACUCAAAGACUGGCUUCUGGGGUGUCUUGGCUCAGAGAGCCAAAUCAAUUAUUGAUGAUGAUAUUAACAGUGUUCCAUAUCCAUAUUCAUCAUUACAUGCCACUAUGCCACAAAAAUUCAGAUCAUACCCAUUCAGUAAUACAGGUGCUCCAGAAUCUCAGUCAAAGCCGUCAUAUCAACAACAUGAAUCUCAUAAUUUAGGGGACAACCCUACAAUUAGGAAGGGAUUGGAGGCAAUCACUAGUUCCCUUAAGCACUUAGGUGACACCUUUGAGAAGGCUUUUGAGGAAGGCCGAAUGAUCGUGGAGAGCAAGACAGACUCAAAUCUGAGCAUAAUUUCACUUUGCUUUGGUUGCAACUUGCAGGUGGCAAUGGCAACGGCUGCCAAAGCAAAACUACUUCUUCGCGAGCUAAAAACUGUUAAAGCAGAUUUGGCUUUUGCAAAAGCCAGGUGUUCUCAACUAGAAGAAGAAAAUAAAAUGCUCCGCGACCGCGGUACCGCUACCACUAAGGGACAGAACCGUGAAGAUGAUGAUAUGAUUCGGUUUCAACUGGAGACGCUUCUUGCCGAGAAGGCUCGCUUGGCAGGCAAGAAUGAGGUAUAUGCUAGGGAAAACCGUUUCCUAAGGGAGAUUGUGGAGUACCAUCAGCUGACAAUGCAGGAUGUAGUGUACCUGGAUGAUGGCAUCGCUGAAGUCCCAGAGGUUUAUGACAGCUCGAGUGGGGUGUCCCGGAUAACGUCUUUCAACCCAUCACCAUCAGAAUCACCUCUUCGAGUGGUUAUUCGGAACUCAGAAAGUUCACCUAUUCUCCCAAACGAGAUGUUAACUGUGAUAGAGAAAGAUAGUAAGAGUGCAUCAGAAAAUGAGGCUCCUCUUCCUAGUGUCUCAGCUUCUCCAAAGUGAUAUAUCUGUUCUCCUUCAAACAAUAGCAUUUAGUUUAGAUGGGGUUCUUGUUUAGAAGCAAGGAAAAUGCAUGUUUUUCUUUUUUGUAGCAUUUAUUAAUUUGUUUCUAUUUUUUACCACUACCCUUGAGGCCAAUAACCAGUGAUUCUUUUGUUAACCACAUGUAGAAUAUCUUGUGUAGUCGGGUAGGCUAACUAGAAUCCGAUCUGGUACUUUUCCGAGAUCAGGAAAUCGGUACUUUCAGAACUCAAGUAAGCAAGCGAUUUGCCUCAUUCCUCUCAACCUUAGCCUGGGAAAGCUAUGCUCUACCAUUUAGCGUCUUCCGCGUGUGGAACUUUCCUAUCUCUUAUGUAAUUUUCCAACCUUCACUUCCUCUGCUUACUUAUUUAAAAUAAGAGAGAUAGGAGCGAGCAAGGAGAGCUAGAGUAAAGAGAGGAAGAGGCUGGGUGAUAUUACAAGAAACUACACAUUUAUUUAUUUAUUUAUUUUUGUGUGACUUAUGUUCAUGGUUUUUGAUUGUAUUGGCUGAUAUUGAUCUAUACAAAGUUAUUCUUUUUCUUUCUUUUUGUAACUUCUUGUAAUUGAAAUUGCACUUUUUUCUGAUCUUUAUAUUAGGGAAGUAUUGGUAUUUUGAUUCAAUGCAUUAAUAGAAGUCAAAUUAUCAUA